GCAGGAAGGCAAAGAUAUAGUGAGAGAUUUGUGAAGGCUGUCUCUCACUCCCUCUAUUUCUCUCUCUCUCUCACACACACACACUCUCUCUCACUCUCUCAUUCUGCUACCAUUGCAGAAUCUGUUGUCCUCAUUUCUUUUAACUAUAACAGACUGUUGAUGUGGACUACUGUUAACUCUGGAAAGGCAUUCUCUUUUAUUUUUUUUCUGACGAGGGUAGAGUGUAUACGUGUUGGCUGCAGAGGGGAGGAGCUGAAGUAUACAGUGGGGAGAGCAAAAUAAAUGAACAUACAACAAAAGCGAACGAAGAGGGCCGUGACAUCACACACUGAGCUGUCCUGGACAAUGCCUGAGAUGAGGAAGAGAGGUGGCAAGCACAGCACUUGGCUGGGAAACUCUCUUUUUAUUUCACUCUCAACACCUUUGUCACACAAAGCGGGCAAAGUACACCUUUUUGGAAGUCACAAAGGAUUAUUUCGGUGACACUUCUCUCUCUUGGCCAUCUGGGCGCUUGGGCUUUGAGCCCCAUUUCUCGUGACAGCCAAACAGGAUUCAUCAGAGGGACAACCUACUCCUGCAAGUCACAAAAAAUCCCACUUUUAAUAUGCUUGCAAACUCAGCUUUUUGGUGUCCUAGCCAAAAGAGGCCAAAAGACCAGGACCGUAGACAGGAGGAUUCUCAUUCACCUACAACAUUUCAACAUUUGGAUUGUUUUGUAACUUUUUCACAGACUUUUUUUUCAACGAAGACUUCUUACGAACGUAGGAGCCUGUAUUGCUGCAGGUGUGCUAACCAAAAAAUUUUGACGUUAUGUCUAAGAGGAUGUGAAUGUAAUAGGGAAAUUCACACAAAAAAAGCACAGGCAAGACCAGGGCAGCUAAAGACGCUGCAAUGACUUCUGUAGAAGGGGAACAGAGAGGCAUGUACUACCUGGGACGAAUGCCAAAUGCUGACAAAAGACUUCACCGCACUCCCUCUCUCUUUGGGAGAAAUCAUAGUUCUUUAUUCUAAGGGUAGCUUAAAUCACUGAAAUUAUUUUUUAAUUUGAAACCUGCUCUAUAACAGAAGCCAAAGCUUGUGUAAGUAUACUGAUAUGAUUCUCUUCAUAGUUCUGUUUUCGCAACAACCAUGUGCUCCUUUUUUCCUUUCUUGGCAACUGUCAUUAGUCAUGAAGUACUGUGUGAUAUGUCAAGAUAUGCUGUUUUGCUGAUUUUGGAGGCAAUCCAUUCUCUCACCAUGCCUCAGGGCCCUGGCAGGCAAAUGACAUGUAGUGUUCGAGAUGAAAUGGUAAGGGGUACCUUUGCGUGGCAACUCUUACAAAUACAUAAAUGCAGUUGCUGUCUCUUACCCAAAAGUUAGGACAUGCUCCAAAAGUAUUACUACAUCAAAUUAUUUUUUCUUCCCUUCUAACACUGUUGCGACCUCAUGCUGUCGCUUUUACAUUAGUUUUUUGGCAUCAUGGUUGUAGUGGGCAGGGAGAUAGGAGGGCAUGGCUGCAGGGUGUUACUGCUGGCUUGGUUAGUUUCUCUCGUUUUCUCAUUUUUUUCACUGUCCUCAUUCGCCAGUGAAUUAUCAAGAAACAGAAAUAUUUUCUGAUCUCCCUCUUCUUCUACCUCCUCCUUCCCUGCCUACCCACCCGCCCAUCGUGUUCCUUAGCCCUUGGGCUGAAUCGCGGUGCCGUCCUACAGAAAACAUUCACAGGUAUUUCCUACUUUUCCUUCAGUUUAGACACUAUUUUUCUAAAAUUUAACUUUCUGCUUUCUCACCAGUGUUCCAUUUUUCUUCCUUUUGCGCUCAUUCUUGCCUCCUUUCGUCCUCAUUGUCCGCCUGCACACGUGUCUGCCUUUGCUCAGUCGCCAUUGCUACCAUAACCACCAUUAUGAUGUGUUCUGAUUUAAGAAUUAUUCUCUAAUAACGCCAUAUUAUCUGAGAAAUUUGAACCGUACUUAAGAAGCAAAGUCUUUGCAAGGUCUGAUACUGUCUGCAACUUCAUCAAAUGUCUCAUUCGUGUUUUCACAGCAAGGUUGAGCUCAAUCAUACAACUUGUUUGUAUGAUGGCGGUCAACAAAGCGCUUUACAAAGAUAAGCUUUGGUGUAAAAGCUACUGUCCUUAAGGCUGAGGUAGUAGAUUGAAUAGUUGUGGGGUAUUAAUCCUCCCUUUGAGAUAACUAUACAAUCUACUGUCUUUCCUAAGGAGACAGUCUGAUCAGCCUCCUGCUCAUGAAUAACUGGACAUCAUGGUGAUUCGACACCUACGCAUGGAGCACUCAUUUAUAGAGCAAUCGGAGAUUACUCAUGUUGGAAUUGGUUCCAUUGUCUGUUGUUCUGUAAUUUAUGGUGUGUUUUAAAAUUCAUUAUAGAACUUUACCGGAACUCUGUACAUCCCUUAAUGUGUUUCCACAAGAUGAGGUAGUAGGUUGUAUAGUUUGUGGGAAACAUCACAUCAUAUUGAGGUGAUAACUAUACAGUCUAUUGCCUUCCUUGUGAGACACAACAACAUGUGGAGAAAGAGCUGAGGUGGCAGCCAUGAAAUGGAGUAGGUGUUUAAGUCUAUAUUUCUGCAGUAUAACAGUUACCCCUCCAUAUUAAAAUACAUUGAUAUUACUAUAGACCACUGUGUACAAUGCUAAUGUUAUGUCUUUAAUUUUUUUUUUCAGCACAUUUUUAAAUAAAGUUUGAUAAUAAUGUGGUGUGUUAAGUCUGUAGGCAUUUUAUUACUAGAAUUUCAGAUAUAUCAAGAACACACACUAUUUAUUCAUCGGCAUGUCUUGCUCAUAAACAUAUAAAUAUGCAACAUGGUGGAUCAAAAUGCUGCCAAGGGACUGCCAAAGAAUUAGCAAAUUUAAUACAAAUAUAUUUAUAUGUAAUGACAAAUCUAUUAUCCAAUUUAUAUGAAAUAACUUGAAAAUUAUGUUAAAACAUCAGGAGAAAAGUGGCAUAUACAAGUAAUUUCAAUAAAAAAAACUGGUAAGGUAUUAGGACAUGUGCAUUUCAAUGAAGAGACAGACUAAGAAGUCAUUAAGCGAUGUGACUACCAUCCAUGUUGGUCAUGAGAAGAUGUUCAGUCAUGAGAUUAAGUGGUCAUUUUUUAAAAUUAAUACAAAUUCCCAAGCAAGGGAAAUUAAACUAAUAAAGGAUAUAAAUAAAUCAUACUCUCCAGAUAUUUGGGAAUUUAUCUUUCUACAAUAAUUAAAGGAUAACCAAGCUCAGAUAUAUAAUCACUAAAUAAUAUAUAUAGUAAAGGUUUUAAACAGCACACUAAAACUAAAACCUAAAAGCACAUCUUAAUAAAAGAUGUAAGAUAACAUAAUUCUCAAAAACCACUGGUCACUCAUUAGCAUUAAUUUAACUUAACUAAAAAAUUAAUUGUUAUUAAAACUGUUUUAAGUGCACUUUAAUUUGGCACACAUAUUAAUUAAUGUUAUUUAAUGUAAUUCAGUCCAAUUAACUAAUUUUUUUUAAGUUGACUUGUAACUUAAAGAAAUUGAGAAAGCUCUGCAUAUUUGCAUGAGCAAAUUUGAGAAAACAAGGACAUCCUGACCCUCUUCGUUAAUGGUCCUGCAUGUCUUAAGUAUGAUAAACAAUUUCAUUCUUUUAUUUCAUAAAAAAAAUAAGUAAAAUCACAAACAUUUAUACUAUGGACUAUGGACCUAGUUUGGUAUUCUGCACGAACCUACAUUUAAUCUUGUUAUGUACCUGCCUCGGGCAUGCUUGCCCUUUGAACCAGUUCAGCAGAAUUGGGCACCUCUAACAGAAGGAGUGGCGGACACGUACGUGGACACAAUGCUGAUUUGGUCUUAGCAAACGGAUUUGCACCUGAUAUAUUACAUGACCUGUUAGAAGAUGUUGUUCCUGUGGAGUUGGCACAUUAAUUGAAAGGGUCAUCCUAGACCAUGAGAAGGACGAGGCUGAUUUCCCCUUUCAUCCUGAGACAGUAAAUGCCCUCAUUAUGGAAGUUAAAUAUAAGUUGAACUUGACUUUUUACUUUAGAUUCAGUUUGAAGACCCAGAGUUGACAAUGCCAUAUGCAAUUUACUUAUUACAGAGGACCUACUGUUCAGAGCAGCUAUUAAGGUAGUUAAAUUGAUUGAAACAGAUCCGAGUUCAUCCAGUACAAAUGACAUAGUUUUACUGUCUGUAGAUUCACCAGAGCAUUUUAGCCAUUGGCCAGAGGUUUCUGUUGUUACCUUAUUCUCUUAAGAGGUGAAGACAAGGCAGUGCCACAUUUAUGACAGAGGGAAAAGCUUGAAAGUUGACAAUGGAUCAAAAACACAACUAACUAGAGGUAAUGGUAUCUGAAAUGUAUAAGCAUAAAGCCUAUCCUAGUUCUAAACAGACUGGUAACGCUACACAAGCUCUAGUAAUGAAACUUUCUAAAAAAAAAAAAGGUUCCACAGAUUAUGAGGGUUGGAACAUCAGCCUACCCUUCAAAAUGGGUAACUACAUGACCAAACUGACCAGGGCUGGCAUAAAGGACGUGGCUGUGAAUGCAGGAAUAUGAAGCAGGACCUAUUCAGAGGGUACAGCAUCCAGAGCCAGCAUCAAAGAAAUUAAAUCAAUUUCCUUCCCAAUUAUCCCUGUGGACAGACUAAGGACACUCUGGAAACUAAGAGGCUUGAGGAGGUGAACCAAUUUAAGAAGACAGUAGCAGAAAGGAACAUGAUUCUGAUCCAUCAGCAUAUGCAACACACUUUUGCAUUCAGGAAUGAAGAAAUUAUGAAUAUGGCUCCUCCCAUUGUCAAACUAAAAGAUAGAUUGCCUGCCCUCUUUUGUAAAGUCAAAGUAAAAAUUUUACUUGGACCCACAUAAUGUCAGUCAUCUUUGCAGCAGUGCUUGAUCUGGAAAAAGGUAUUGAAUAGUUUAAUAUGGAUUGUUUAUUUAUCUGUCCUUUUGCUCCCAAUGCUGCUCUAAAGCGAAUUACACAAGAUAACAAGAUCAAAAUCUGCCACUUUCAUUCUAUGCUUCACUUGACAAAUAUAAACCUCAGCUGCUGAAACUCAACAAAAAGAGAAAAACAGGAAUUUUUGGUGAGAAGAUAGAAGAUAGCAUAUGAAGAACAGGUAAAUAUAUUUUAGUGCAUUCCAUUACAUAAUAAAGGUGAACACUGGACCCUGAGAUACCUAUGCAACAAGAAUGACAUCACUGAAUCCAGAACAGCAGCCCUCCAUAUGCAUUCCACUAUACUAAAAGGAGGACUCCUCACAGAUCUUCAAAACUUGCAAGGAAUGUUUAUUUUUAUUUUACAUAUUCUACAGGUUCAAUUACCAAUUACGUCAUCAGGUAUUCUGAGGUAAGUAUUGUUGUAAACAUCAGCAAAAACAUUCAGACCCACAACUGCACUGAUAUUACCCUUUGGUGAACCCUGAAAGGUCUAUUAAUGAUUUGUUUUUUUAUCAUUUAUGUUUUCCCAGGCUGCAGAUGUACAUUUGCACUCACACACACUGAACAUGCAUUGCUAUUUCAGUAUGAGUUGGAGGCAACCCAGAAGGAAGCAGUGGCUCUGGUGUUUUUCUUGUGUUUUUGUUUGGGCUCAUGUACGUGCUCCAUGUUCAUCCAGGUUGUCCUUUUAAAUUUUUAUGAUGGGAAAGCAGCUCAAAACAAAUUACAGGAUUUUACAGGAUCAGUGUUGAAGUCUAAUCAGAAAUCUAAUUUUAAGUGUUUACAAUUUUUUAAGGCUUUGAAUUUUUUCAACAUGCGUAAAACACAUUUACUUGCUUCACUGAAUGGUGUUAUGGACAUUGAAACUCAAAGAUGCAAAGUAUCCAAAACAUUAAAACACAAUGUUGUAAGUUCAGUAAUUGUAAGUGAAAAUUGUUUUAUCAUUUUAACCAUUUAAGCAUUUUAUCUCAAGGGAAUGAGAGUAAAAUGGAUAAACAUCCAUGUUUUAUGUCAAGUUGAAUGAUAAACUGACAUAUUUUUGUAUAUUUUGUUUAUACUAAAAUGUCCUAGGUAUGUUUGUGAUUGUUUGUGUUUUAUAUUUUGUUAGUAGCGCUUAUCUGGCUUAAGGUUUAAUAUCAGUUUCCAGUAAACAGUAAAUGAUGAAGUUGUUGCAAAUUAAAUGUAAUAAUUUGCUGUAAUGUAAUGUAAUGUAAUGUGUAUUUAACUUACAGUAAGUAGUAACAUUGCCAAGAAAAUUCAUUCAAGUUAACCCUACUUAAUUCAUCGAAAUUCUUCAAUACAUUUUAAUUAUGUGUUUCUAUCAUGGCACAAUCUGUAGCAUGUAAUUUAUCUUCCAUUUGUCCUUCGAAGCUUGAAUAUAUACACUGUUGGAUUAAUUGCUGAAUUAGCAUGAGACAGUAGGGUACAACAAAUUGACAUAUUGACUAUAAAAAUUGACAGUGUUCAUGAGGUACAGAAGGAGCCUAAAGAACCAAACACAGAAGGUGAACCAGCCUGUGCUUUUUUCAGUCAUAGGACCAACAUUUGCUCUUAAGUGCCUUCUAGUGGCUAAUAAGUACAAGUACAACUCAAUUAUGUAAGGAACCAGAUGAAUUAAAAUUAUGACAAAAAUAUA